AAUAAUUAAUAAAAGUAGGCAUUUACACUCUAGGAUAUAUCGAUUCUCUCUCAUAAAAUCCUUUUCCAAAUAUUAUUAUCACACACAAUAAUCUAUGCCCAAAAUUCUUCAAAUCCAUGGGAUCCAUCAAAUUUCUUCAAAUUUCAUUGCCCAAAAUACUCAAAUUUCAUCUCACCGUAGCUCAGUUCGCAAUCGAUUCGAAGAAAUUUAAAGGAUAUAUAUAUCCACACAUAAAGAAAUAAAGGAUUUAGGGUUUAAGAUUUUAUCCUUUUGUUGUUACUUCUUUCAAUUCUCUUUACACAUCAUCAUCAUAUAUGUCUUGCGUUUAAAUCCUUGAAAAGGGGUUUUCAUUGUCAUUGAUGUUGUUGUUGUUGUUGUUAGUGGUCGUGGUGAUGUUACAAUGUGAGCCUGUGAUGAUUGAGGUGUGUAGAGUUCAUGGGUAACGGAGCUAUGACUGUAGCUUGGAGGGGCAACCCGAAUUUCAACAAUGAUUCCCCUUUAGCAAAAGGAUUCUUGGAAAUCAGUGCUAAAAGAAUUUAGCAGCAAAAAUGGAUACAAUCUUAAUGGGAAUGGGGAUAGUGGUCCAUUGCUUUUGGAUGUUCUCUAAGGAUUCUUGAGUAUGAGGUUUGAUAAAACUUCUUAUAUUGUGGUAUGCUUGUGUUUCUAUUAGUAGGACAUUAGAAGAAUACAAAAUAUGGGGAGAUUAGCAUUGAUAAUCCUAUCGACUUGUUUGUUGUUUAUCAUCCUUGAAAAGAAUUAAAUGUCGAGAAGGAUGAAUUCAAUAACAGAGGUCUAUGGAACAUGUUAAAUAUAUAAAUAGUUCAGUUUGUAAAGAGUAGUUGUCUCAACAUCCUAAUGCAGUUGUUGCCCUCUCACCUUGUGGUAUCCAAAUUCUCCUUGUAUUUUGCCCUCUAUAGAACGAUAAAUUGUUUACAAAUUCCAAACAUGACCAAAUGUGGUCCUAAGGGGUAAACAUGUUACUAAAGGUCCCAAGAAGCUAAUCAAAGAGGAGGAUGGAAGUAAAUAAGUUGAAAGCAUCAAGGCCUAAUUAGGAACAGUUCUCUUGAUUUACUAGAGAUACUGACCAAUACAACAAUGUAUAUCACUAAGCUAAUUUUAUCAAAAGAGAAACAGAGACCAUUAAGCUUAAUUUAUUCAACAUGAUUUGUUUCUUUGUUAUACUUCAAACACUCCUGUCUUUUCUUUGUCCCAUGAGGUAUAUCUGCCUGGUGCUAUAAAUACCACGGGUUUGUUUUUGAACCAUUAACCUUGCUCAGAUACGCUUGACUUAGUGAAGAGCAUUCCCUAUUCUGUAGAUGCUGGUUUUAAAUAAUUUCAAGUGUACACAAGUGUAUCUGUGUUAAUACAUGUAACUUGCGUUGGUAGAAACUGAUUAUUGACCUUGUGUUGAAAUCUCCAUUGCUUUUUGUGAUGGCUCAAUGGUCUCCUGUUCCAGGUGUUGUUAGUCUUUAAAAUGUUUAAGUAGUUCCACUAAAUGAUAGUUAUAGCAUUUGCAGUUCACGCUUUCCUGCAAUCGAAUUGACUAUAGUGAAUAUACAAGUUUAUCUAUUAGGAAUUAGCAUUAUGGCAAGUAUUUAAAAUCUGCGCUGCAGAAUCUAUCUAAAGGAAGGAGUGCUGACAGAGAUUGACAGCAGAUGCUGAUUCUUUUCCCAAUUUAGAAAUAAUGAAAAUACGGAUGCCUUCAUCUUCAGUUUCCGGGGGCUUACCUCCAUUGGGAAGGUUUUCACAUAAGACACUAUUAUGUCAUCUCUUUUGCAUUUGUUUAUUUAUUUAGUUAUUUCUCUUUUCAGUUUUGACAUCUUGACUUGAGACCAUCCUCAUUCCACAGGCUAGGUCCUGCUGCCCAGUCAUCUAGUAUGUAGUGUACUUGCUUUAUUUGUAUAAUUCCUAGAUAAAUGUUUAAUCUUGUUCAUAUGGUUGCGGGUUUAGAUAGAAGAGGGGUUCGUCGAUAUGUGGAUACAGGACGGAUGAAUACAACUGGAGAUAUGACAAUGAUGAACUUGCAGAAGAUGUAAGUCGUGCUACAUCUACCUUAGAAAACCUUCAGCUAGACAGAAAAACUCGAAAUAUUACCACUUCCUGGCGAAUCGUCUGUGUUACUCCCAGCUUCCAGGGGAUGCUAAGGCUUCAGCUAUCAAGGCAGCUCCUUCACGAACAACUGGUAAAGGAAGAGGUAAAUAUGAAAUGAGGCAGUCUCUGAAAGAUGAAAAGGUUGAAGCAAGUAUAUCGAAGGAAAAUACUUCAAAUAUAUCUGAAAUCUUCAAAAACUUUAGCACUGGAUUCGAUCGGUUGAACGGUAUUCUCUUCACGCGCACUAGCUUGGAGACUUUUGAAGAAGUGUUGUUGAUGGUUAAGAAUGAUCUGCUUGAGCUUCUCUCUUCUGGGUCUGAUGAGAAGUAUAGUUUUGGUUCAGAUGCUGCUGACUCCAAACUGGCAAUUAUCAGGCUCGUGGCCAUCUUAAUAUUCACCAUCCAUAAUGUGAUUAGGGAAAGUGAUAAUCAGUUAUAUGAUGAGAUUCUGCAGAGAUGAGUUCUUCUACAGAAUGCAUUUACUGUUGCUUUUGAGUUCAUGGGUCAUGUGGUUGAGAGAUAUAUCUAAUUAAAUGAUCCCUCAUCAAGCUUCUUAUUGCCUGGUAUUUUGGUUUUCAUUGAAUGGUUGGUGUGCCAUCAAGAUAUUGCACUUGGUAAUGAGUCAUAGGAGAAACAAGCGACGACUAGAUCUUUUUUCUCUAAGAACUGCAUCACUUUUUUUAAUAAGCUAAUGUCGACUGGGUCUAAGUUUGUCCAUGAAGAUGAAGAUAAAACAUGCUUUUUCAAUAUGAGCAGGGAUGAUGAAGGUGAGAGUGGGAAUCGGCUUGCAUUGCCAGAAGAUUUUGAACUUGGAGGAAUUGUUCUUCGAGCACAGCUUAUCCUUGACUUCUCAAGGAGCCAUUCUGUUGGUGGUGAUUGUGGAAAUCAAGAGAAAUAUAUGCCUAAUGCCAUUUAUUAGCUAAUUGGUGCGUGAGACUAUAUAUAUGUAUGUAUAUGUAAUGUGAUUAGUGAUGUAUAUAUUCCGUUCAAAAUAAUUAUUUUUCAAUUACUAACAUUUUAUGCCUAAUGCGAUAUUUGUAAAACGUAGCCUAAACUACCAAAUUUUAAAUAAUAUUUCCACUCUUCAAAA